AUGCCUGGCCUGGAGACAUUUUUUUUAAUGUUCCAGAAGGCAGCUUUUAAACUAAUUUUUGGAAAACUACAAAUUCCAACUUAGCUGUAUAACCUAUGAUGCCCUGAAAUUUCCCAGCUACUGGGAAUGAAGUGUGAAUGACGGCUUAAGGCUCUAGAAGGUCUCCAUAUGUUUGGGUGAGAUUUUGCUGUGAGUUUCCCUUAAUGCACUGUCUUGUCUGAAUGGCUUUAAAACUAACAAAAGUGACUACUCCCUAAGAGUCUGAGCUCCACAGGAAGGGUUUUUCUGUGAUCGUGACCAUCUUUUCUGUGCUUCCGUUUCUCUUUCUGCAGGGAGAAAACUUUUCCUAUAGUGGAUUUCUAACAUAUUUUUAAUGAAGGUGGGCCUAGACCCUGUGGCUUUUGAAACUCAAGGUAUAAUUAAAGAGACUAAGACCAGGCAGAAUUGACUCAGAAGGCUGUGUGGGAGCUGGAGAGCAAGGGUGUCACUCUGUGGCCCAGGCUGG